rnacentral:misc_RNA from 1 species
GAUGAAGAACGUAGCGAAAUGCGAUAAGUAAUGUGAAUUGCAGAAUUCAGUGAAUCAUCGAGUCUUUGAACGCACAUUGCGCCCCCUGGUAUUCCGGGGGGCAUGCCUGUCCGAGCGUCAUUGCUGCCCUCAAGCACGGCUUGUGUGUUGGGCCCCGUCCUCCGAUUCCGGGGGACGGGCCCGAAAGGCAGCGGCGGCACCGCGUCCGGUCCUCGAGCGUAUGGGGCUUUGUCACCCGCUCUGUAGGCCCGGCCGGCGCUUGCCGAUCAACCCAAAUUUUUAUCCAGGUUGACCUCGGAUCAGGUAGGGAUACCCGCUGAACUUAAGCAUAUCAAUAAGCGGAGGA